UGGGGAAUAUUGGACAAUGGGCGAAAGCCUGAUCCAGCCAUGCCGCGUGUGUGAAGAAGGUCUUCGGAUUGUAAAGCACUUUAAGUUGGGAGGAAGGGCAUUAACCUAAUACGUUAGUGUUUUGACGUUACCGACAGAAUAAGCACCGGCUAACUCUGUGCCAGCAGCCGCGGUAAUACAGAGGGUGCAAGCGUUAAUCGGCAUUACUGGGCGUAAAGCGCGCGUAGGUGGUUUGUUAAGUUGGAUGUGAAAGCCCCGGUCUCAACCUGGGAACUGCAUCCAAAACUGGCAAGCUAGAGUACGGUAGAGGGUGGUGGAAUUUCCUGUGUAGCGGUGAAAUGCGUAGAUAUAGGAAGGAACACCAGUGGCGAAGGCGACCACCUGGACUGAUACUGACACUGAGGUGCGAAAGCGUGGGGAGCAAACA
rnacentral:rRNA from 1 species